rnacentral:rRNA from 1 species
CGGACGGCUGAGUAACACGUGGGUGACCCGCCCUCGAGCGGGGGAUAACUGCCCGAAAGGGUGGCUAAUACCGCAGACAUCGCGCAUUCGUUUGUGCGAUUGAACCUUUGGGGUUCGGGGAGGGGCCCGCGGCCGAUUAGCUAGCUGGUGGGGUGACGGCCUACCAGGGCGACGAUCGGUAGCUGGUCUGAGAGGAUGAUCAGCCAGACUGGGACUGCGAGACGGCCCAG